rnacentral:rRNA from 1 species
CCCCUACGGGAGGCAGCAGUGAGGAAUAUUGGUCAAUGGGCGUAAGCCUGAACCAGCCAAGUCGCGUGAGGGACGACGGCCCUACGGGUUGUAAACCUCUUUUGCCGGGGGACAAACGGCGGCACGCGUGCCGUCCUGAGGGUACCCGGAGAAAAAGCAUCGGCUAACUCCGUGCCAGCAGCCGCGGUAAUACGGAGGUGGCAAGCGUUGUCCGGAUUUACUGGGUGUAAGGGCGUGUAGCCGGGCUGACAAGUCAGAUGUGAAAUCCGGGGGCUCAACCCCCGAACUGCAUUUGAAACUGUUGG